CCCAACGAUCCAAUCCUGGCUCCGCCCCUGCCCCAGUGGUCAUCGGCUGUCGCUGCACAUGGCUCCAGGCCAAGACUCGAGGCACGCAGCUACGCAUUUGAUGGCCGAGGCACUCACAUCUGAGGAUUGAAGGCACGUACCAGCCGAGUAGUGAGCAGCCACGUCCAUGCCUGGCGAUGCGAAAAUGUAAGAUGCAUCAUUCUCUGGUGCCUCUUGCACUCAUGAUUCGAGUGCCUACUGCAUACACCAUGGCGUCCGCUUGCAAAGUGUUCGACAUAAUGCUCAUGAAGAAACUUAAGCAGCAACAUGAAGAUAGUGGUUGUCUGAUCUGCCCCUAUUGCUAGAUCUAACCACAUCAAGAACAUGGUCCUCUGUCAGGAUCUCCUGAAUCUUGGCAAUAUAUUAUGGUAGAUUGGUAGCGCAAGAAGACAAACAGUGGCUGCACAAGAUGGAGGAGAACACCUGGUAAAACCAAUGCAGG